rnacentral:tRNA from 1 species
GUUUUUAUAGUUGAAUUACAACAUCAGUUUUUCGUGUUGAAAGUUUUGGUUAAGGCCAGAUAAAAAUU